rnacentral:rRNA from 1 species
UACGCUGGCGGCACGCCUAACACAUGCAAGUCGAACGAAGUAGCAAUACUUAGUGGCAGACGGGUGAGUAACAUGUAGGUAUCUGCCCUUUGGCCUGGAAUAACACGAGGAAACUUGUGCUAAUACCGGAUAAGUCUUUACGGAGAAAGCUUUAUGCACCAUUGGAUGAGCCUGCACUUGAUUAGUUUGUUGGUGGGGUAAUGGCCUACCAAGACUGUGAUCAAUAGCUGAUUUGAGAGGAUGAUCAGCCACAUUGGGACUGAGACACGGCCCAAACUCCUACGGGAGGCAGCAGUGGGGAAUCUUGCACAAUGGAGGAAACUCUGAUGCAGCGAUGCCGCGUGAGUGAAGAAGGCCCUUGGGUUGUAAAGCUCUUUCGUCGGGGAAGAAAAUGACUGUACCCGAAUAAGAAGGUCCGGCUAACUU